UGUUUACUGGCUAGACAUCUGCCUGGGCAGCAGUCCUGCUGUCAGCCCUGUCCCGGGAGAAGAGAAACACUGGAGAGAGAAGGCAGGGCUGAAAUACAGUGUGGCCGUGGCGCAGGCUCCUUCCCACAGCUUGGCACAGCAGGAUGGUUGGAUUUCCCAUGGGUCAAAAGAAUGCUGAGGAAGGCCUUCACAAUGAACAGAAAGCUGCAGUUUCCUCCUCUGUAUUCUUUCUCCACUCUCACUUGCCUCAUGUACCCCACUGACCCAGGUAUGAGAAACCUAGCCUGCAUCUUCUAUAGCACCACAUGCCUAGACUGAGGAAAGAUCCACAAAUGCCACUCUUCUUCGAAUAGCCUACCUUCGCAAAGUCUCACCAACCCGCUGAAUAUGGACUCCAGUGGUGCCCUAGGGGAUGGUGGAGCCACCAGAUGGAAGUAGCCUGGUGAUCCUGAGAAGGAGAGAUGCCUCGCUGACCUGAACAUCUUUCCAGAACUGUUAAGUGAGUUAGAAAUGAACUUCUACUAUACAAAGCUGCUGAAAUUUGGGCAUCUGUUACUUUAGUUGGUCUACUGAAACUUCUCUCCUCUCCUCACUUACCUCUCCAGAUGCAAUGGCAGGUCUUUCGGGGUGGGGAUGGGGCAUUGAUCAGAACUGCCUGGAAGCUCAAGUACCCACUGUACCUAGGCUCAAGCAGGCCAGAGAUUCCCAGAGAACAAGAGAGAAGAAGAAGGCUUGAGGUGCCUUUUCUGUGCAGAGAUCCAUACUUCAAAAUGUGGCCAAUUGCUACCAGGCUCUCCUCAAUAAAGAAGCAACUGCUCUCCCUUGGGGGCAGCAGUCAGAGUGGAGAGAAAAUAAGUUCUCAUUCUAACUCUCCUUGAGGGAGAGGAAAAUAAAAGUCCUGUGUUUUCUGUAGCAAGGUUGGUAUGCAGCAAGAGGAGCCAUUUCCCCAACAAUGGGAAAAUUCAAUUCUUUCAACAAUUUAUAAAGAGAUACAUAAUGUGGAUGGAUAGAUGGUAUAUAUCAAUAGAUAGAUUAUACCUAGGUAAUAGAGACGGUAGACAGAUAAGGAUGAUAGAGACAGAUAAAUGAUAGGUUGAUAUGUAGAGAGAUGAUAGGUUGGUAGCUAGAUAGGUAAGUAGGUAGGA